UUUACCACCAACCACCAUUUGCCCACAGAAACUGAAGGAGAUGCUGAGCUGAGUGCAGCCACACAUGAGAAGAGGUUUCUGCUCGACAACCUGCUUGGUCUCAUCCACAUCGGCGAACAGCAGUUGUCGAACCUUCUGGGUAGCUUGGAGGCGCUGGCCUCGACCUCCUCCAGCCGACCCUGGACAAACGUGCGCACCAUCGCCCAGACGCUUCUGAACAACUCCGGCUCGGUGACCGCUGCUCAGGUGCUACAAGCGUGAGAGUGCUGUCCCCUUACCAGGAGCAGUUGGGGGCUUGUAUCAGCAGAUCCUCACCCUGGCUCGUGGUCUGGGCUGCAGGUCUAGAAGAUCCCAUCUUCACGUGCGCACACCACCUCAUGCAGCACGUGUGCGCUGAGUGCUAGAGGCAGCGAAGGCAGAGAUUAAAGAACCUGAUAAAGGGUUU